GUGACCGGGGGUGACCGGGGAUGGCCGGGACUGAAACUGUCCCAUUUCCUGGCACCUCAACCCUUCAUAAAUACGGGUCCAUAUACAGAGGCUCCAGUUUACACAAGACAAAAAUGGCGUGGAGGUAAAUCCCUUUCAGCAGCUGAAUAGAAAGCUAAGAUGGCCGCGACGUUUACACUUUGUACAAAGGUUAGGAAACAGUUCCUUGUGAGGGAAAAGGAGAACCGGCCGAGAGGGGACACUUCGGCCAAAGCCAGAUUUCUAACAGAAAGUAGCUUGAAGCGCCUUUUGAACGCAGAAGAGGGCUGUUAGCUACGCUGACGGAACAGGGGUAGCAGUCACAGACUAGCCUUCAGAUCAGAUUCCAACCCAGCUAACACCUUGACGACAACCCCCAUGAGAGACUGUGAAUCAAAGUAGCCAGAAUCCACAGAUUUAAGGGUUCAAUCCUACAAGACUGCCUCCUCUUGAGUUCCUCUGCCCGUCCGCCCCACUGUCUGGGAAGUGAGGAGCGCCUCUGCCUAGCCUCCAACCAUCUGGGAAGUGAGGAGCACCUCCGCCCGGCCGCCUCACACCACCGCCACCAUCUGGGAAGCGAGGAGUGCCUCUGCCAAGCCCCCGCAACGUCUGGGAAGUGAGGAGCGCCUUUGCACGGCUGCUGUGCGACCCUCCAAGUGUGAAGUGACAGCCUUGUGUGUGAUCUUUCUGCCCUCCCCAAGUUUGCAUUUUCGACAUUAAAGUUUACUUUUCAAUUAAAAUUUUUAAAUUGGAGAAUAUAUAAUUAAAAAAAAAAAAGACUGCCUCCUCUUAAGAUGACAGUCACAAGUCCUGGGCUACCAGUAUUUCUGACUAACUGGCUAUAAAUUAGGGGCUCCCACAAACCCCUCCUCAGGUUUGAUAUUUACUAGAACAACUCAUAGAACUCAGGAAAUACUUUACCUAUGGUACCUAGUUAAUAAUAGAGGAUACAACUGAGGAACAGCCAGACUGAAGAAAUGCAUAGGGCAAGAUAUGGAAGAGGGUGUGCCAAGCUUCCAUUCCUCUCUGGGUGUGGCAUCCUCCCAGCAC